GGUAGCUGGUCUGAGAGGAUGGUCAGCCACACUGGAACUGAGACACGGUCCAGACUCCUACGGGAGGCUGCAGUCGAGAAUCAUUGUCAAUGCACGCAAGUGUGAACAUGCGACGCCGCGUGGAGGAAGACGGCCUUCGGGUUGUAAACUCCUGUCAGCAGGGAAGAAGAGAGCGCCUCUAAUAUAGGUGUGAUUCGACGGUACCUGCAGAGGAAGUCACGGCUAACUCUGUGCCAGCAGCCGCGGUAAUACAGAGGUGGCGAACGUUGUUCGGAUUUACUGGGCGUAAAGGGUCCGCAGGUGGUUUGGUGUGUCGGAUGUGAAAGCUCACGGCUUAACCGUGGAAUUGCAUUCGAAACUGCCGAACUAGAGUACUGGGGGGGUGAUGGGAACACUUGGUGUAGCGGUGAAAUGCGUAGAUAUCAAGUGGAACACCGGAGGCGAAGGCGCAUCACUGGACAGAUACUGACACUCAUGGACGAAAGCUAGGGUAGUGAAAGGGAUUAGAUACCCCUGUAAUCCUAGCCGUAAACGGUGUGCACUCGAUGUGGGAGGAUUUACCCCCUUCCGUAUCUGAGCUAACGCGUUAAGUGCACCGCCUGGGGAGUACGGUCGCAAGAUUAAAACUCAAAGGAAUUGACGGGACCCGCACAAGCGGUGGAGCAUGUGGCUUAAUUCGAUGCAACGCGGAGAACCUUACCUGGACUUGACAUAUAGCUGCAUCCGACCUGAAAGGGACGGAGCCUUCGAGGGUGCUAUACAGGUGCUGCAUGGCUGUCGUCAGCUCGUGCCGUGAGGUGUUGGGUUAAGUCCCGCAACGAGCGCAACCCUUGUGUUUAGUUGCCAGCACGUAAUGGUGGGAACUCUAAACAGACUGCCUGUGAAAACAGGAGGAAGGUGGGGAUGACGUCAAGUCAGUAUGGUCCUUAUGUCCAGGGCUGCACACGUGCUACAAUGGGAUGUACAAUGGGAAGCGAAGUCGCGAGGCGGAGCAAAUCCUCAAAACAUCCCCCAGUUCGGAUUGGAGUCUGAAACUCGACUCCAUGAAGUUGGAAUCGCUAGUAAAGGCGUAUCAGCUACGACGCCUUGAAUACGUUCCCGGGUCUUGUACACACCGCCCGUCACAUCACGGAAGUCAGUUGUACCCGAAGUCGCUGAUCCAACCUAUCACUAGGAGGAAGGCGCCGAAGGUGUGAUCGAUAACUGGGAUGAAGUCGUAACAAGGUA
rnacentral:rRNA from 1 species